AGCAGCCGCGGUAAUUCCAGCUCCAAUAGCGUAUAUUAAAGUUGUUGCAGUUAAAAAGCUCGUAGUUGGAUUUCGGGAUUGACACAUCGGUCGUGCCUUAAGGGGUAUGAACUGGUGUAGUCAAUUUCUCACCUUCUGGAGAACCGCGAUGCCCUUAAUUGGGUGUCGCGGGGAACCAGGACCUUUACUUUGAAAAAAUUAGAGUGUUUAAAGCAGGCAUUUUGCUUGAAUACAUUAGCAUGGAAUAAUAAAAUAGGACGGCAUGAUUCUAUUUUGUUGGUUUCUAGGAUCACCGUAAUGAUUAAUAGGGAUAGUUGGGGGCAUUAGUAUUCAAUUGUCAGAGGUGAAAUUCUUGGAUUUAUUGAAGACUAACUACUGCGAAAGCAUUUGCCAAGGAUGUUUUCAUUAAUCAAGAACGAAAGUUAGGGGAUCGAAGACGAUCAGAUACCGUCGUAGUCUUAACCAUAAACUAUGCCGACUAGGAAUCAGACGAUGUUAAUUUUUAAUGUACUCGUUGGCU
rnacentral:misc_RNA from 1 species